CCUACGGAGGGCAGCAGUAGGGAAUCUUCGGCAAUGGACGGCAGUCUGACCGAGCAACGCCGCGUGAGUGAAGAAGGUUUUCGGAUCGUAAAGCUCUGUUGUAAGAGAAGAACGAGUGUGAGAGUGGAAAGUUCACACUGUGACGGUAUCUUACCAGAAAGGGACGGCUAACUACGUGCCAGCAGCCGCGGUAAUACGUAGGUCCCGAGCGUUGUCCGGAUUUAUUGGGCGUAAAGCGAGCGCAGACGGUUAGAUAAGUCUGAAGUUAAAGGCUGUGGCUUAACCAUAGUACGCUUUGGAAAAUGUUUAACUUGAGUGCAAGAGGGGAGAGUGGAAUCCCAUGUGUAGCGGUGAAAUGCGUAGAUAUAUGGAGGAACACCGGUGGCGAAAGCGGCUCUCUGGCUUGUAACUGACGCUGAGGCUCGAAAGCGUGGGGAGCAAACAGGAUUAGAUACCCUAGUAGUC
rnacentral:rRNA from 1 species